rnacentral:rRNA from 1 species
AUGGAGAUUGCCCGCCGGGAGCCCUUCAGCAUCAUGUCCGGCUCCGGCCGGAAGCGCCCGCGCCCGCUGGAGAUCCUUCGCCAGCGGUUCCAGUCAGAGCUCGCCGCGGUCCGUCGCCUCCUCGACGAGGCGCACGCCGUGCUUCCCGCCUCGUCCCCGUCGGCUCCCCGCGUGCGCGUCCCUCCAGCCGUGGAGCCGCCAGCCAAGAAGAGGAAGGCUUCCCCCCUUCCCGUUCCCGUGAAGAAGAUGACGUCCAAGGAGAGGAACCAGCUCUACGGGGACCUCGCGAAGCUAGCCAAGCUGUCUGAAUCACAUGUACUCCCUGCUCAUAUCUUGGAGCUGCUGAAGAAGCACAGCCGCCGCGGCCUCUGCGGCGAUUACAUCGAGAUCGAGAUGCACGCCGUCCAGGACGCGGCCCUUGUGGAGAUGCAGAAGCAGCUGGACAAAUUCCUUCGAGAGAGGGCGAAUCCGACGACGCAUCAUCAACACAAAAAGAUGAUGGCCCAAGACCAAGAGGAGGACGAAGACGUCGACAUCGUCGGCGGCGUCUCUCCUUUGCCGGUCAGGCCGACACCAGUGCAGCUCGUCGAAGAGGAUGGGGUGUACGUAGACAUCUGCGGCGACGCCUCACCCUCACCGGUGAAGAAUCUUGGCCAAGGUGCAACCAUCAGCGGCAGCAGCGGUUCGGAUUCUGAUUCUUCUCACCAGAGCGUCGACAGUCGUCCAGCUCCGGCAGAGCGCGCCGCCAACACUACGCCUCCAACACGCGACCUGAUCGCCCGUGCCAACGAGAUUCUGGAAAGGCGGCGAAAGGAGGCGACGUCCCGGGCGAGGGAGAAGGCCCGUCAGCAAGUGCUAGAGAUGGAGAGGACGGCAAUGCCGAAGGACACCCUAGACGAGGACGUGAAGGCCCUCGGCAUUGAUCAGCACAACACGGCCAGGCCCAACAACUUGCUGCGACAGAUGGGACUCUUUCUCAAGGUUGACGACCACGACCUGAAGCAGCAGCAUCAAUGCUGUCAAGAAGAUUUAGAGGAAGGGGAGAUUCGGUUGUGA